GGAACACUAAGCCAACCAUUUUUCGCUGAGCCAAGAUUACGAAUAAGGAGCGAGGUAUUCUAAGUCUUUCGUUCGGCAGAAGAUGAAGAGAGAAGAUGCCUGAAUGGAGUGGACUUGGAGUGGGGCCGGGAGUCAAUGAAGCCCGGGGAAAUCGAUGGAGGACCAGCGGAAGGGAAACUUGCUGCCAGGAUAAUCAAAGACACGACCCACCCAGCCAACACACUUUUCAUCCCUCUUCCCUCCGGGAGAAGGCUCAGGAGCUUGAAGACUCAUAUGGCCAGAUUUGGGAACAGCUUCUUUCCAACUAUGAUUAAGAGAGAAGAUGCCUGACAGGACAGGUCGUAGCCAUCAGGGUGGAGUGGACUUGGAGUGGGGCCGGGAGUCGACAAAGCCCGGGGAAAUUGAUGGAAGACCAGCGGAAGGAAAACCGUGAGCUCCAACUUGUGCGCAUUAACCUGUUUCAUUAAAAUGGGCCCUGUUCUUUUUGUUUUAUUUUACUGACCCUCUAGUCAAAUUAAGAAUUAUAAAUCUAAACCAUUUAAUUGCAUAUGCUGUACUGUUAUUUUGUGGUACUGAUCUGUAACGGGGUAACACAUCACGCAGCAUCCACACAAACAAGGGGUUUUGCACCUCAGAUUUCACACGUUUGGCGGGUCCAGAGACUGUCUUCCCUAGACUAACACCACCGGCUGAACCUGAGGGUUUCAGGGACAAAAAGACUUGUCACAACCCUAUUGGCAAAUAGAUCAAGGAAGUUCCUCGCAAAGAACUGUCCCAGUAUAAUUGUCUCAUCAGCUCCAGCAAUUUGGCAAAGAACAAUGGACCAAGUGCUCCAAGAUAUCCCAGGAACACAAUGUUACCUUGAUGAUUUUGACUGGCAAACUCACCUCCAGAACCUUGGUAAAGUGCUUUCCAGGCUGACUGAGUAUGGUCUGGACAUAAAGAGAGAGAAAUGUGAGUUUUUCAAGAAUGAAAUCUCAUUGUGGACAUGUUAUUGAUAAGCAUGGUUUACAUAAGUCACAAGAGAAGAUUGAAGGAGUGCUGCAAGCACCCAAACUGAGAAGUGUGUCAUAGCUUGGGUCAUACUUGGGCCUUGGAAUGGUCAGAAAGAUGUGAAAAAGCAUUCUAGGAAGCAGAGAGACUAAUACCAUCAGAUGAACUACUCACCUAUUAUGACCCAUCCCUGUCCAUCAGACUGCUGUGUGAUGCAUCAUUGGAGCUGUUUUGUCACACAUUAUGAAAGAUGGAUCUGAACAUCCGAUUGUGUUUGCGUCAAGAUUACUGACGAGUGCAGAAAACAACUACACACAGAUCGACCGAGAGGCCCUUAGUCUAGUAAGGGGAAUGAAGAAGUUCCACCACUAACUCUACGGACAAAAGUUUAUGCUAGUGACAGAUCACCAGCACCUUGUGUCCAUUUUCAAUCCCAGGAAGGGAAACCCAGUGAUGAUUCUACCCGGUUACAACGUUCGGCAAUUUUCCUAGGAGUCCACUCUUACAACAUAGAG